AAAAGAGAAAAAAAAAAAAAAAAAAAAAAAACAAAAAGUUAAAGUCCAUCUUGUACCCCCUCUCUCCUACGAAAUGUCUUCUCUUCUCUCUUCCCCCUCUUCCCCCUGGCCUUCUCUCGAAGCUCUCUCUGAGGCCCUCUCAAAAUACUGUUCGGAACUGCCUGAUACCCUUCCCAUUUGAACAUUUGAAAAUAAAG
rnacentral:ribozyme from 1 species